rnacentral:tRNA from 1 species
ACUUUCAAAGGACAGAAGUAAUCCUGUGGCUUUAGGAGCCAUUUCCCCUUGGUGCAACUCCAAGUGAAAGUA